UAGGGAAUCUUCCACAAUGGACGCAAGUCUGAUGGAGCAACGCCGCGUGAGUGAAGAAGGUUUUCGGAUCGUAAAGCUCUGUUGUUGGUGAAGAAGGAUAGAGGCAGUAACUGGUCUUUAUUUGACGGUAAUCAACCAGAAAGUCACGGCUAACUACGUGCCAGCAGCCGCGGUAAUACGUAGGUGGCAAGCGUUGUCCGGAUUUAUUGGGCGUAAAGCGAGCGCAGGCGGAAUGAUAAGUCUGAUGUGAAAGCCCACGGCUCAACCGUGGAACUGCAUCGGAAACUGUCAUUCUUGAGUGCAGAAGAGGAGAGUGGAAUUCCAUGUGUAGCGGUGGAAUGCGUAGAUAUAUGGAAGAACACCAGUGGCGAAGGCGGCUCUCUGGUCUGCAACUGACGCUGAGGCUGGAAAGCAUGGGUAGCGAACAGG
rnacentral:rRNA from 1 species